rnacentral:tRNA from 1 species
GCCCGCCUAGCUCAGUCGGUAGAGCGCGCGGACUCUUAAUCUGGUGGUCGUGGGUUCGAUCCCCACGGUGGGCA